CAGACACAGAGUGGUUCAGACUAAAGAUGAUCUUACACUGGAUCAAGUGGUCCAGUAUGUGAGGCACGCCUGAACUUUCAUUGCUGAUUUAAGGGAAGCGAUUGAAUAUGAUCCAAAGUAUAUCAAAGACUUUCUAAUGAGAUACCCCAAGAUUCAACUACGGAUGGAAGGUUACAGCAAGGUUACGAUAGAUUGUGGAUGGCAUUGACAAGCUUCAGAAAGAUGCCACAAUUGCGAAUAUCACAGGGUCUUCUGCAGGUGUUGUAGGAGGAAUUCUCAGCAUUGCUGGAUUAAUUGCUUCUCCUUUCACAUUUGGUGCCUCAUUGGUCCUCACUGCUGUGGGAAUUGGUGUGGGUGCAGCUGGUGGUGCCACUAACAUUGGAGCCACUGUCACUGAUAAUGUUAUACAAAAGGUUAAACAGAAAAGAGUGAGAAAGAUCAUAGAACAAUAUGAAAAAGACAGCAAAGCCAUGUCAAACAGUUUAAAUCAGGUCCACCAGACAAUUGAAUAAUUGAUUGAAGGCAGGAUUAAGGACAUACCAAGUGCUUACUGAUUGGUGAAAUUCAGGCUGCCAGCAAAAACUUAAAUACUGUUCUUGUACUGACUUCAGCAGCGACCAAAAACACUUUGAGAGCACUCAAAGCUGUUUCAUGAGUUCUGUUAGGGCUCCUCAUGGUGUGAGAUAGCUAUUCUGUAGUGAAGGAUGCAAAGGAACUUCAUGAAG